rnacentral:misc_RNA from 1 species
UACAGAGGUGGCAAGCGUUGUUCGGAUUUAUUGGGCGUAAAGGGUUCGUAGGCGGUCCGGAAAGUCAGAUGUGAAAUCCUACAGCUUAACUGUGGAACUGCAUUUGAAACUCCCGGACUAGAGUGUGAGAGGGGUGAAGGGAAUUCCCGGUGUAAGGGUGAAAUCUGCAGAGAUCGGGAGGAACACCAGUCGCGAAGGCGCUUCACUGGCUCACUACUGACGCUCAGGGACGAAAGCUAGGGUAGCAAACGGG